CCUGGCUGACAUCCACGAACCUCCCAUCCAAAGGUUGGAGAUCCACCCAUCUACCUCUAAAUCAAUCUCACCCUCAGACAGCAUAGAAAGACGUGUUCUGUCGACUCCUCCUCUAGUCUGUAGAUAGGGCAGAACGUCGGGAUCUCCAUGUCCCUGCCCCUAAGCACCACCCAUGUUGGGAGCUAGUCCCAGACAACCUUUCACAAAAAGAGCCACAUCCUGGGGUGAGUAGUCACUCUCCAGAUCCAGACACCUUUAAUCUUGAAACUCGUCGCAGGCCU
rnacentral:lncRNA from 1 species